UACGGAGGGUGCAAGCGUUGUCCGGAUUUAUUGGGUUUAAAGGGUGCGUAGGCGGUCUUUUAAGUCAGCGGUGAAAGCCUCCAGCUUAACUGGAGAAAUGCCAUUGAUACUGGAAGACUUGAGUACAGACGAGGUAGGCGGAAUUGACAGUGUAGCGGUGAAAUGCAUAGAUAUUGUCAAGAACACCGAUUGCGAAGGCAGCUUACUAGACUGUAACUGACGCUGAGGCACGAAAGUGUGGGGAUCAAACAGG
rnacentral:rRNA from 1 species